UAAAAAGUGUUUUGCACGAGAAGAUUUGAAUUUCUAAGAGGAAUAUCCUUUAA
rnacentral:tRNA from 1 species